rnacentral:lncRNA from 1 species
GUCAGAUCAAAAUAAAAUCGCACUUUGAAAAAAUGAUUUUGGCCAUUGUGAACUCAAACACGUGGGUUGGGCCUACAUCUUUAAUUUAUGGGACAGAGCAGAAGAUACUUUUCAAAUGGGAUGUUUGAAAAAUUAUUUAUAAAAAAUAAUAUAAAAAAAAAAUUUUCCAAUCAUCUUUUCCGGUCGACAGUAUGACAAACGAC